rnacentral:rRNA from 1 species
GAUGAACGCUGGCGGCGUGCCUAACACAUGCAAGUCGAGCGUGAUUUAUGAGGACGAAACUUCGGUCUAGGAAUCAUAAUGAAAGCGGCGGACGGGUGAGUAACGCGUAGGCAACCUACCCUUGACACAGGGAUAGCCUCGGGAAACCGGGAUUAAAACCUGAUGACGCCAAACAGUCACAUGGCUGUUUGGCCAAAGAUUUAUCGGUCAAGGAUGGGCCUGCGUCUGAUUAGUUAGUUGGUGGGGUAACGGCCUACCAAGACGACGAUCAGUAGCCGACCUGAGAGGGUGAUCGGCCACAUUGGAACUGAGACACGGUCCAAACUCCUACGGGAGGCAGCAGUGGGGAAUAUUGCACAAUGGCGAAAGCCUGAUGCAGCAACGCCGCGUGAGCGAUGAAGGCCUUUGGGUCGUAAAGCUCUGUCCUUGGGGAAGAAACAAAUGACGGUACCCAAGGAGGAAGCCCCGGCUAACUACGUGCCAGCAGCCGCCGCUGUAA